rnacentral:lncRNA from 1 species
GGUGGUGAAACUUCCGAUAAGGGUAAGGAGAUUGUACCCGAAGAUCGAGACUAGGAGUACUUCGACUCCCGAUAUUGUGAGUAACCUUAUUAUCAUCUUAAUUAUCUAAAAUAGCUUUUAUUCAUUUUUGUGAUUUUAUAGAAAAAUGAGUUUAAAUGGUAAAUCCUUAUGUUUUAUAAGUAAAAUGUGAUUAAAUGAAAUGAGUUUUGUAAAUCAUUUUGAAAUUGAAUGAUGAUUUUAGAAAUGAAGUAAUUGGAGACUGUUUGAUUGUGCUGUAAAUUUAUGGUUUGAAUUGAAUGGCUUAUGGUGAUAUUGGCAUGAAUGGCUGAAUCAGAAAUUGUGUUGAAAUUGUAUGAACUAUUUGUUUUGCCUUAAUAGGUUGGGUAGUAAUAUAAUUGCCAUGUCAUACUGUCGAAACUUUUAUUAAUUUGGUGGGAUAUUGAUUAGUCAUUGCAGUGGUGGGUUUCCGUGGACCAACUUAUUAAAGAGGGGCACGGUAAACCCAGUUAUAUUUUACCUCGAUACAAGAGGCGCGAAGGGUAUCUCCUGAGGUAAAGCUUUAGAGUUCACUACACGCUAAACCACCACGUGAGGGUGAACUCAGCGAAUGCCAAGGAACAGCUAUGCUUUUAAACGUAAAAAUGUGUUUUAUGCGUAUAUGAACUUUUCUUUAACAGUUUUGACAGACUCGGUUGGAUGCCCCGGCCAAGGUAUCCCCGAGAAUGAGUUUUGACACGAGCCAAAUUUUUAAGAAAUUCAUAAGCCAUGUUAAUUAUUUGAGUGAAAUGAAAUUAUUCUAUUUAGUUGAAAUUGGUUUGAAACGUUAUGAAUCAUAGUACGAUGAACUAUUUUAAAUUGUCUCCAUUUACUCGACUUUAGAUAUUUUAGAUGAUGUUUGUAUACGCACUGAGUUUAUAUAAACUCACCACCCUCAUUUCCACUCAUUUCAGAAUCAGGACAGUCCAUAAAUAGUUGAUUACGUCGAGGGUUAUUAUUGGACUCGCCUCCUCAAAAAUCGUAGGUCCACAGCCUUUGUUACCUUUGGUCAUUUGGGGGCCCACACGUCAUUGUAAAUUAAAUUACUUACUCUGGUUAUCUGUGUUACUGUAUGUAUGGAUUUAUUUUACUCUUACGCUAUAAAAAUUAUUUAUGCAGAGUUCCAUAAAUAUUGUUUUAUAAGAAAAUAAAAUAUUUCAUUUAAUAUUUUUAUUUUAUUCUAUUAGCUACA